rnacentral:lncRNA from 1 species
UUUUUAUUUUUUUUUAUUUUUGAGACAGGAUCUCACUCUGUGGCCCAGGUGUGAUUAUAGCUCACUGCAGCCUGGACCUCCCGGGCUUAGGUGAUCCUCCCUCCUCAGCCUACCGAGCAGCUGGGACCGCAGGCACAGCCACAGUAUACUGGCCUCUGCUCUCUUCCAUACACGACGUAAGCAGCCGGGAGUGACACCUGCCCAAGUCCUCGUAGGUCUCCUCAGGUCCUGUCGGGUCAUCAGGGCCGAGAUAGGCUGAGGGUCGGGUGUUUACAGGCUGAUUUCAGGCUGGGCCUGCUGACCACAGGGCCUGGGAGUAAACCCCAGGUCCCUGAGACCUCUUCCCUGGUCUCCAUCCUAUCCCCAGUAACUUGGCCUCUGCUUCAUCUUGGAUAAACUGUGACCCCACAGAGGUCAGAAAGCAAAACCCUGCCCCUGGGAGGUUCUCAUCCCAUUUCAACUCCUUUUCUAAUUCGGUGAUGAGUCAGCAAACCUGAGCCUGGAGUGGCCGUGCAGACAGGUCCCCGGCCAAAGGCCCUGGGUCUUCCAGCAGCUCUUGUUGUCACCGGGACCCAGCCUGCUCCCAAGGUUCCCGAGAGUGGUGGGGCUGUCCCCCACACCCAGGUCCCAUCAGCGAGGCUGGGAGUCCUCUCCCCUCGCUGGCGGACGGGGAAGCCAGGCUCGCCUUCCCUCUGGGUCCUCGAUUCUCGCUGGAUCAACAGUGUCACAAGUCAGACUCCUUAAAACUGCUUUCCAAGGGAACCCAAAAUAUCUGUUUCUAGAAGUGUUGGCAGUCAAGAGCUGGAGAUGACUCACAGCCCAGCCAGCAUCUCCUCUUCCGCACCCACGCUGCUGGGUCUAUUUCUAGACAGCUUGGUUGUGUGCGGAGUUCAGGGAACCUGGAUCUUCCAGCAUCUUGUCUUCACUGGAAUGUUCCAUCAGUGGUUCUGUCCGGAGUAUCUGGCGCGCUGUUUGCAGCCACUCCCCUGAAGCUCAAAGGCAAUGAUGAGCUCUCCCAGUGAUCAAAGACAAAGUCACUUAUGUUCCACAUCAUUGCCCCUUGCAUUGAUAGAUGUUUAAUUGCAUCGUGGAGGUUUUCUGAGGCAGGCAGUUGGAGUAUGGAAGUGGUCAUCGUGGAAGCCACAGUCGCGUUUGUGCUGUUUUCAGGAGGCCUUCAUCCCGAACCCUGCACCCCACCCUGGCCACAGUGCCUAGCAUCGCCUCCAUCCCUGGGACAGGAAGCCAAGGGCCAGAGUAGCCCCUGCCUGUGAGCAGUGAGGGACUGGGCAGUGCUUUCAUUCAAUCCAUCCCCGUUUUCUUAUCAACAAAGUGAGGAUGAGAAUUGCCUCAGAAUCACAAUGCUUACCUUUCAGGGUUGUUUUGAGGAAUAAGAGAUGACACACGAGCGGGUUGCACCCAGCAGGCACUCCAUGUGUGCAGGGAUCAGUGUGCACACAGCAGGCACUCCAUGUGUGCAGGUCCCUCCUCCUUCUGGACGUUUAUUGAGUGCCUCCCUGACAGUGCCCUGCAUUCGCUGCAGGCAUCGUGCCCACUGAGGAGAGGCCCCUGGAUCGAGUCCGGGAGGGCGCGGCUCCACCUCUCCCAGCUACGGACCAGGAAGAGCCUCUCAAGCUGCUCUUCAGGGCCAUGUGGAGCUGAGGU